GCUCCAUUUUAUAUUUUACAUGGUCCUAAUAGAUUCUGGGUAUGUAACCUCAACAUGCUGUCCUGAAUGUUGUAAUAUUCACAUCUUGUCACAUAUAAAUCAAUUUAAUAAGGGGAUUCCCCAAAGAAACUGGAAGAAUUUAAAUUCACAGUAUAGGAUUUAUUUUUUCCUUACCAAAGAGCAGCAAGCAUAUAAAAAUUUUCUGGAUUUAGGAAAAUAUGACCGAAUUAGCACAUCUAAGUAGAGCCUCAUGUAUUUAUUCAGUAAACUGUUAAAGAAGAUUGGGCAAGGAACUGCAUAUAUUGGGUCUCAUCUACAGCUCAACUAUAUUGGCCAGAAUUGGGUCUAUAUAUUUAAAGUAGUGGUUCCCAAAUUAAUCAUUAUGGCCCACCAACAUUCCAGAUUUUGUUGUCAGUAUCUCUCUUGGAAUAAUGAAGGGAAAUACAUAAAUCCUGGAUUAUUC